CCUACGGGGGGCAGCAGUCGAGAAUCAUUCACAAUGGGGGAAACCCUGAUGGUGCGACGCCGCGUGGGGGAAUGAAGGUCUUCGGAUUGUAAACCCCUGUCAUGUGGGAGCAAAUUAAAAAGAUAGUACCACAAGAGGAAGAGACGGCUAACUCUGUGCCAGCAGCCGCGGUAAUACAGAGGUCUCAAGCGUUGUUCGGAAUCACUGGGCGUAAAGCGUGCGUAGGCUGUUUCGUAAGUCGGGUGUGAAAGGCGCGGGCUCAACCCGCGGACGGCACAUGAUACUGCGAGACUAGAGUAAGGGAGGGGGAACCGGAAUUCUCGGUGUAGCAGUGAAAUGCGUAGAUAUCGAGAGGAACACUCGUGGCGAAGGCGGGUUCCUGGACAGUAACUGACGCUGAGGCACGAAGGCCAGGGGAGCGAAAGGGAUUAGAUACCCUUGUAGUC
rnacentral:rRNA from 1 species